rnacentral:rRNA from 1 species
UACGUAGGGUGCAAGCGUUGUCCGGAAUUAUUGGGCGUAAAGAGCGUGUAGGCGGCCAGACAGGUCCGUUGUGAAAACUCGAGGCUCAACCUCGAGAUGUCGAUGGAAACCGUCUGGCUAGAGUCCGGAAGAGGAGUGUGGAAUUCCUGGUGUAGCGGUGAAAUGCGCAGAUAUCAGGAGGAACACCAAUGGCGAAGGCAGCUCGCUGGGACGUGACUGACGCUGAGACGCGAAAGCGUGGGGAGCAAACAGG